rnacentral:rRNA from 1 species
GUGCCAGCAGCCGCGGUAAUACGGAGGGUGCGAGCGUUAAUCGGAAUUACUGGGCGUAAAGCGCACGUAGGCGGUUUGUUUAGCUAGCUGUGAAAGCCCAGGGCUCAACCUUGGAAUUGCAGUUAGAACUGGCAAGCUGGAGUACAGUAGAGGGUGGUGGAAUUUCCUGUGUAGCGGUGAAAUGCGUAGAUAUAGGAAGGAACAUCAGUGGCGAAGGCGACCACCUGGACUGAUACUGACGCUGAGGUGCGAAAGCGUGGGGAGCAAACAGGAUUAGAAACCCUUGUAGUCC